CACUGGUGUGAUGAUGUGUCA
rnacentral:siRNA from 1 species